UAAAACGAAGGACGCGAGCGUUAUCCGGAUUUACUGCGCGUAAAGCGCGGGCAGGCGGUGGUCCAAGUCGGACGUGAAAGCUCCCGGCUCAACUGGGAGAGGUCGUUCGAAACUGGGCCGCUAGAGGGCAGUAGAGGGGCGUGGAAUUCCGGGUGGAGUGGUGAAAUGCGUAGAGAUCCGGAGGAACACCAGAGGCGAAGGCGGCGCCCUGGGCUGCACCUGACGCUGAGCCGCGAAAGCUAGGGGAGCGAACGGGAUUAGAAACCCCGGUAGUCCUAGCCGUAAACGAUGUCCACUAGAUGUCUGGGCGGAGGCCUGGGCGUCGCAGCUAACGCGUUAAGUGGACCGCCUGGGGAGUACGGCCGCAAGGCUAAAACUCAAAGGAAUUGACGUUGGCCCGCAC
rnacentral:rRNA from 1 species